rnacentral:rRNA from 1 species
GAGUGAUCGAAAGAUGAAAAGCACUUUGAAAAGAGAGUUAAACAGCACGUGAAAUUGUUGAAAGGGAAGCGUUUGCGACCAGACUCGCCCGCGGGGUUCAGCCGGCACUCGUGCCGGUGUACUUCCCCGUGGGCGGGCCAGCGUCGGUUUGGGCGGCCGGUCAAAGGCCCUCGGAAUGUAUCACCUCUCGGGGUGUCUUAUAGCCGAGGGUGCAAUGCGGCCUGCCCGGACCGAGGAACGCGCUU